rnacentral:rRNA from 1 species
AACGAACGCUGGCGGCAGGCUUAACACAUGCAAGUCGAGCGCCCCGCCAGGGGAGCGGCAGACGGGUGAGUACCGCGUGGGAACGUACCUUUUGGUUCGGAACAACUCCGGGAAACUGGAGCUAAUACCGGAUAAGCCCUAACGGGGAAAGAUUUAUCGCCGACAGAUCGGCCCGCGUCUGAUUAGCUAGUUGGUGAGGUAACGGCUCACCAAGGCGACGAUCAGUAGCUGGUCUGAGAGGAUGAUCAGCCACACUGGGACUGAGACACGGCCCAGACUCCUACGGGAGGCAGCAGUGGGGAAUAUUGGACAAUGGGCGCAAGCCUGAUCCAGCCAUGCCGCGUGAGUGAUGAAGGCCUUAGGGUUGUAAAGCUCUUUUGUCCGGGAAGAUAAUGACUGUACCGGAAGAAUAAGCCCCGGCUAACUUCGUG